AAAAAGACAGCCCUCUGAGAGGAAGCAGAUUCUCACCAGACACCAAAUUUGCCAGUGGACUUGAUCCUGGACUUCCCAGCCUCCAGAAAUCCUCAACCCCUACCCCAUGCAUGUUCUCCUUCCGAGGUUUCCAGCGCUGGAUUAUGGGAAACCAGGUUUUCAAGAUCACAAAGCUUGGCUUGAUGAAAUUCCAUUCGAGGAGUGUCACCUGGUGUGAACCUGCUACGCUAUCUCUUUUGCCAAGUUCUCCAAUUAUUUAGUCUUUAAAUGCAACUAAAAAUAACCAUCUUUAAUUAUCAUAUUUAAAACUACCACCAG
rnacentral:lncRNA from 1 species